UUUCGAAUCAUUCACAAUGGGCGAAAGCCUGAUGGUGCGACGCCGCGUGAGGGAUGAAGGUCUUCGGAUUGUAAACCUCUGUCACCGGGGAAGAAAUGUCAUGAGUAAACAUCUCUAGACUUGACCUAACCCGGAGAGGAAGCAGUGGCUAACUCUGUGCCAGCAGCCGCGGUAAUACAGAGACUGCGAGCGUUAUUCGGAUUCACUGGGCGUAAAGGGUGCGCAGGCGGCCGUGUGUGUCAGGUGUGAAAUCCCGGGGCUUAACCCCGGAACUGCGUCUGAAACUAUAUGGCUCGAGCAUUGGAUAGGGUAGCGGAAUUCACGGUGUAGCAGUGAAAUGCGUAGAUAUCGUGAGGAAUACCAGAGGCGAAGGCGGCUACCUGGACAAUUGCUGACGCUC
rnacentral:rRNA from 1 species